UACAGAGGUCUCAAGCGUUGUUCGGAUUCAUUGGGCGUAAAGGGUGCGUAGGUGGCGGGGUAAGUCAGGUGUGAAAUUUCGGAGCUUAACUCCGAAACUGCAUUUGAUACUGCCUUGCUUGAGGACUGGAGAGGAGACUGGAAUUCACGGUGUAGCAGUGAAAUGCGUAGAUAUCGUGAGGAAGACCAGUGGGCGAAAGGCGGGUCUCUGGGACAGUUCCUGACACU
rnacentral:rRNA from 1 species